UACGUAGGUGGCAAGCGUUGUCCGGAAUUAUUGGGCGUAAAGCGCGCGCAGGCGGUCCUUUAAGUCUGAUGUGAAGGCCCACGGCUCAACCGUGGAGGGUCAUUGGAAACUGGGGGACUUGAGUGCAGGAGAGAAAAGUGGAAUUCCACGUGUAGCGGUGAAAUGCGUAGAGAUGUGGAGGAACACCAGUGGCGAAGGCGACUUUUUGGCCUGUAACUGACGCUGAGGCGCGAAAGCGUGGGGAGCAAACAGG
rnacentral:rRNA from 1 species